GUCGUGUCCGAGUGGUUAAGGAGAUUGACUAGAAAUCAAUUGGGCUUUGCCCGCACAGGUUCGAAUC
rnacentral:tRNA from 1 species